rnacentral:tRNA from 1 species
GCGGCUGUGGCGGAACUGGCAGACGCGGUGGCUUGCUAAGUGCUCAACAUCCAUUUUGAGCGUUUAGCCAAGUCACUGGGGAAACCCGUCCGGGUUCGAUUCCCGGUAGCCGCA